rnacentral:rRNA from 1 species
CGUCUAGAGCAUGUCAGAGGCAGNCGGAAUUCCCGGAGUAGCAGUGAAAUGCGUAGAUAUCGGGAAGAACACCGUUGGCGAAGNCGGCCUGCUGGGACAGUGCUGACGCUGAGGCACGAAAGCGUGGGGAGCGAACGGGAUUAGAUACCCCGGUAGUCCACGCCGUAAACGAUGGAUACUAGAUGUUGGACACGCUGAAGUGUUCAGUGUCGAAACAAAUGCGAUAAGUAUCCCGCCUGGGGAGUACGACCGCAAGGUUUAAACUCAAAGGAAUUGACGGGGGCCCGCACAAGCGGUGGAGCAUGUGGUUUAAUUCGAUGCAACGCGAAGAACCUUACCCGGAUUUGACAUCCUUCGGACCGUCUCUGGAGACAGAGACUUUCUCUUCGGAGACCGAAGUGACAGGUGCUGCAUGGCUGUCGUCAACUCGUGUUGUGAAAUGUUGGGUUAAGUCCCGCAACGAGCGCAACCCUUGUUCUUAGUUGCCAGCAUUAAGAUGGGCACUCUAAGAAGACUGCCGAGGUUAACUCGGAGGAAGGUGGGGAUGACGCCAAGUCCUCAUGGCCCUUAUGUCCGGGGCUACACACGUGCUACAAUGGUAUAGACAGAGGGAAGCUACGCCGCAAGGCCACGCGGAUCCUCAAACUGUAUCACAGUUCGGAUCGGGGUCUGCAACUCGACCUCGUGAAGGUGGAUCGCUAGAAUCGCGGAUCAGCAUGCCGCGGUGAUAAGUCCCGGGCNUUGUACACACCGCCCGUCACACCAUG